rnacentral:rRNA from 1 species
AACGAACGCUGGCGGCAUGCCUAACACAUGCAAGUCGAACGAUACCUUCGGGUCUAGUGGCGCACGGGUGCGUAACGCGUGGGAACCUGCCCUUAGGUUCGGAAUAACUCCCCGAAAGGGGUGCUAAUACCGGAUAAUGUCUUCGGACCAAAGAUUUAUCGCCUUUGGAUGGGCCCGCGUUGGCUUAGCUAGUUGGUAGGGUAAAAGGCUACCAAGGCGACGAUCCAUAGCUGGUCUGAGAGGAUGAUCAGCCACACUGGGACUGAGACACGGCCCAGACUCCUACGGGAGGCAGCAGUGGGGAAUAUUGGACAAUGGGCGAAAGCCUGAGCGAGCGAUGCCGAGUGAGUGAUGAAGGCCUUAGGGUUGUAAAGCUCUUUUACCCGGGAUGAUAAUGACAGUACCGGGAGAAUAAGCUCCGGCUAACUCCGUG